GUGGGGAAUAUUGCACAAUGGAGGAAACUCUGAUGCAGCGACGCCGCGUGAACGAUGAAGGCUUUCGAGUCGUAAAGUUCUGUCCUAGGGGACGAUAAUGACGGUACCCUAGGAGGAAGCCCCGGCUAACUACGUGCCAGCAGCCGCGGUAAUACGUAGGGGGCAAGCGUUGUCCGGAUUUAUUGGGCGUAAAGGGUUCGCAGGCGGCCUUUUAAGUCAGAUGUGAAAGCCCACGGCUCAACCGUGGUAAGCAUUUGAAACUGGAAGGCUUGAGUUAAGGAGAGGAAAGUGGAAUUCCUAGUGUAGCGGUGAAAUGCGUAGAUAUUAGGAGGAAUACCAGUGGCGAAGGCGACUUUCUGGACUUAUACUGACGCUGAGGAACGAAAGCGUGGGGAGCAAACAGGAUUAGAAACCCUAGUAGUCC
rnacentral:rRNA from 1 species